rnacentral:lncRNA from 1 species
UUUCUUCCCAGGUGAAAACUUUAUUUCCUCUAGUUACAUAAUAAGGUAGAGAUAACAUCUCCAUCUGAUAGCAAUCCUGUUUUAAUAAAUGCUAGUUAAUGGGGUAGAAAAUGGAUCACUAAAGUGGCAUGAUAAUUGUCAAGAGCUUCCUUUGAUAGAUGUUAUGCUGAGAAAUAAUUUUCAUUAUCAUUAGUGAGUUAAAAGAUCACCUGAUAUUCAAUUUUAAGACUGAACUUCCCAUCUCACUGAUUAGUCAGAAAUAUGUUGAGUGAUUAUUUUAUUCUUGUCCCACAAGAUUCCUAUUUUCCCCUUCUGUUGGGAUAACCCAUGAUUGCCACUUUGAUCAGCACUUAUUUCCUGCUUCUUAAACAACUCAAAUAGUGAUACUGAUGUCAACAUGUACACGCUUUUCCUCCUUCCUCACUCACCACACUCUCCCC